AUCGUACCCCAAACCGACACAGGUGGUCAGGUAGAGAUUACCAAGGCGCUUGAGAGAACUCGGGUGAAGGAACUAGGCAAAAUGGUGCCGUAACUUCGGGAGAAGGCACCCUGAUCCGUAGGUGAAGUCCCUUGCGGAGGGAGCUGAAAUCAGUCGAAGAUACCAGCGGGCUGCAACUGUUAUUUAAAAACACAGCACUUGGCAAACCCGAAAGUGAACGUAUACGGUUUGACGCCUGCCCGGU
rnacentral:rRNA from 1 species